CGGGUCUAGACUCCACGAGACUAUGGUCUACGACCAACCGCCAUGCAGUAAGGUAACGCCUCAUGCUUGGGUAUCGAAGAUUAGGUUCGCUACCUAACACCCACUGCUUAAACGCAGUUCCCCUCAUCAAACAAUUUUCCGACCAUACGAAGGUCUAUAACCAGGAGUUGGGGACUCCUUGGAGGGCCUAGCAGGGGCCCACCCGAAAGGGCACAAGCGUUUGCUCUGACCAAUUCUAGAUAGACGACGCACUUGCACUAAUUAUGCUAGCAAUACGGCACAAAGCCACGCUUUGGUAUCAACCCUGCUGAAAACCCUCAUUGACUAGGGACUUCGGGGACUUGUAAAUACAGCCCAGCAUAAUUAGCAACAGUUCUGCUCAUGCCACACAGCAUCACCUUCGAGCUACCCAUUAAUGCCUCAGCGGCAUCCUUGAGCUUUCACGCUCCUGCCUCAGCGGCAUCUCUGAGCUUUAACGCUUUCGCCUCAGUGGCACCACCGAGCUUUCACUCACGCCUCCGCCGCAACCCCUAGCUUAAACUCACGCCUUUGCGGCAACCCCG
rnacentral:lncRNA from 1 species